AUUGAACGCUGGCGGCAGGCCUAACACAUGCAAGUCGAACGCGCGGCGGACAGGUGCGUGAUGUAUGGGGACUGCCCCAUAUAGGGGGAUAACUCCUGGAAACAGUGUCUAAUACCCCAUCCUCUCGCAUCACCCACAUGGGAUUCGCUAGUAGGUGAGGUAAUGGCGCCCCUAGGCGACGCUCCCUAGCUGGUCUGAGAGGAUGAUCAGCCACACUGGGACGUAGACACGGCCCAGACUCCUACGGAGGCAGAAGUGGGGAAGAUUGCACAAUGGGCGCAAGCCUGAUGCAGCCAUGCCGCGUGUAUGAAGAAGGCCUUAGGGUGGUAAAGUACGUUCAGUCGGGAGGCGUUACCGACAGAAGAAGCACCGGCUAACGCCGUGCCAGCAGCCGCGGUAAUUC
rnacentral:rRNA from 1 species